UAGGGAAUCUUCCGCAAGGGGCGAAAGCCUGACGGAGCAACGCCGCGUGAGUGAUGAAGGUCUUCGGAUCGUAAAACUAUGUUAUUAGGGAAUAACAAAUGUGUAAGUAACUAUGCACGUCUUGACGGUACCUAAUCAGAAAGCCACGGCUAACUACGUGCCAGCAGCCGCGGUAAUACGUAGGUGGCAAGCGUUCGCCGGAAUUAUUGGGCGUAAAGCGCGCGUCGGCGGUUCUUUAAGUCUGAUGUGAAAGCCCCCGGCUCAACCGUGUAGGGUCAGUGGAAACUGGAAAACUUGAGUGCACAGGAGGAAAGUGGAAUUCCAUGAGUAGCGGUGAAAUGAGCAGAGAUAUGGAGGAACACCAGUGGCGAAGGCGACUUUCUGGUCUGUAACUGACGCUGAUGUGCGAAAGCGUGGGGAUCAAACAGG
rnacentral:rRNA from 1 species